AACGAACGCUGGCGGCAGGCCUAACACAUGCAAGUCGAGCGGACCUUUCGGGGUCAGCGGCGGACGGGUGAGUAACGCGUGGGAAUAUGCCCUUCUCUACGGAAUAGUCCUGGGAAACUGGGGGUAAUACCGUAUACGCCCUUUGGGGGAAAGAUUUCUCGGGGAAGGAUUAGCGCGCGUUGGAUUCGGUAGUUGGUGGGGUAAUGGCCUACCAAGCCGACGAUCCAGGGCUGGUUGGAGAGGAUGAUAAGCCACACUGGGACUGAGACACGGACCAGACUCCUACGGGAGGCAGCAGUGGGGAAUCUUAGACAAUGGAGGCAACCCUAGUCACGCCAUGCCGCGUGAGUGAUGAAGGCCUUAGGGUUGUAAAGCUCUUUCAGCUGAGAAGAUAAUGACGGUACCAGCAGAAGAAGCCCCGGCUAACUACGUG
rnacentral:rRNA from 1 species